UCCUUACCACCGACUCCUUGUUGUCUAGAUUUUCAGUCUGGCUUGGCCACUCUCAUGGAAUACUGCCUGACAUAAGAAAUGGAUGAAGUUGGAUUUCCUGAUUUUGGUCAUCUAGAGGAAACCAGCCUGUCUUUGAGUGAGGCUCCAAAGGCAAGAUUCUUUUAUCCCACCUUAAUUUUGGCUCUGAGUGUCAGCCGACAAGUAGGCACCUGGCCAUGGGAUUCUCCAGCACUUCAGCCCAGGUUUGAGUGUGUCAGUGAUGAAGGUGAAUCCCAGCUGAUUCCACUUGAGAAAAGCAAAUUGCUCCUCUGGAUAGAGCUGGAGACUCCUAAAGUUCCAUUCCUGAGCUCCAGGAUGACACACCAAGGAAAGAACAGCAGUGCAGACUGCCAUAGCACCAUGCAGUUCCAUGCAGCGAGCUGCUGUUGUCUGGCCCUGCUUGUGCCUCAGGAAAGUCUGAAAAAGUGCUGCCUGUACACCUGCAGUUACAACACGAGACAACUGCAGCACUUCUUGGCUGUUCUUCACUCCUUGGCAGGGGAUUUGUUAAGUGAAGCACCAGGACACAGCUGUGGAUGGACAGUGCACCUGUGACAGCAGACAUCGGGUGAAGGCUCCUCAGGGGACAGGCUGGUGACCAGAGAAGCAAACAGAGGGGGAGGGAGGGGUACAAGAGGGGCCUGCGAACUCUCCUGGGGAAGCACGGAGCUGCUGUAAACAGAUUCAGCCUCUUUCUGUUUGUAAAAAUUAUGGACAACAGUGUUCUCUUCUGUAAACCAUUCAUACUGCCACAGCUGGACAACAAACAACAGGGAAUUCUGGAGAUACACAGGGCAAUUUCUUUAAACCCACUAUUAAUAUCCUGUAGCCACACUAUUAAAUUGUAGUUAAAUUCUCCUUUAAGGGUGAAGAAAUAUUUUUAUUUAAAUUUAAUAAUCAAUGAUCUACUUAGAAGGCUUCAGUAGGAAGCCUUCAGAUAGGAACUGUUAAUCACAUUAAAUCUACUGAAUCUGGGCAGAUUUUGGUUUUUUGUUUUUUUGGCGUUUUUUUCCCUAGUAAAGAACCUGAAUUUAAAAAAUAGCAGCCUAAUAGUCCUAUGACUCUGAACUGACACUCAGGGUUUGAUCCAAUCUUUGCUUACUAGGAUUUCUCUGCGGUUGAUAUGGUGAUAUAACAUUAGGAAAUUCCUUAAGAUCUGGCAAAGCACAAAGCAGUGGCUCUCCUGAAAACAGGCACUCAUCAUUACGCUGAUUUAUACAAACUGAAACCCUGGGUGUUGCUGGCUGGGGAUGUUCCAGCAACAGAGAUCCAGGACAGAUGUCCACUGUCCUGGGAUCUGUGCAAUCGCUCGCCCCAGUCAGCGCAGACAUAAAACAAGAACAGCUCUGAGUGGAACAAGGCCCUUGGUGUGUGCUUGGGCCAGGUCAGAGUCCCAGUUGUGACUCACCUGUCAGCCACCAGCAGCAGGGUGAAUGUGCCUGCCCAGCCCAGCAGAGACUCCUGCUGUGCCACAGGACAUGGCAAGUCCAUGAGAUCAGCAAGUGCUGGGAACUGCAGCUCCUCCAGCACCAUUCUGCCACAGCUUCUGCAGGCACAGACAUGAAAUGGUGAGCCUGCAUGGAAUUCACUGACCUUCCAAAGCAGAGAGGAGUCUGGUUAUGGGUUACUAUUUAUUAAGUAAUUC
rnacentral:lncRNA from 1 species